rnacentral:rRNA from 1 species
UAGGGAAUCUUCGGCAAUUGACGAAAGUCUGACCGAGCAACGCCGCGUGAGUGAAGAAGGAUUUCGGAUCUUAAAACUCUGUUGUUAGAGAAGAACAAGGACGUUAGUAACUGAACGUCCCCUGACGGUAUCUAACCAGAAAGCCACGGCUAACUACGUGCCAGCAGCCGCGGUAAUACGUAGGUGGCAAGCGUUGUCCGGAUUUAUUGGGCGUAAAGCGAGCGCAGGCGGUUUCUUAAGUCUGAUGUGAAAGCCCCCGGCUCAACCGGGGAGGGUCAUGGGAAACUGGGAGACUUGGGUGCAGAAGAGGAGGGUGGAUUUCCAUGGGUAGCGGUGAAAUGCGUAGAUAUAUGGAGGAAAACCAGUGGCGAAGGCGGCUCUCUGGGCUGUAACUGAAGCUGAGGCUGGAAGGCGUGGGGAGCAAACAGG